UACGUAGGGGGCUAGCGUUGUCCGGAAUCAUUGGGCGUAAAGCGCGUGUAGGCGGCCCGGUAAGUCCGCUGUGAAAGUCGGGGGCUCAACCCUCGGAUGCCGGUGGAUACUGUCGGGCUCGAGUACGGAAGAGGCGAGUGGAAUUCCUGGUGUAGCGGUGAAAUGCGCAGAUAUCAGGAGGAACACCAAUUGCGAAGGCAGCUCCGCUGGGA
rnacentral:rRNA from 1 species